rnacentral:rRNA from 1 species
CCUACGGGCGGCAGCAGUGAGGAAUAUUGGUCAAUGGGCGCAAGCCUGAACCAGCCAAGUAGCGUGAAGGAGUACUGCCCUACGGGUUGUAAACUUCUUUUAUAAAGGAGUAAAGUGAGGCACGUGUGCCUUUUUGUAUCUACUUUAUGAAUAAGGCUCGGCUAACUCCGUGCCAGCAGCCGCGGUAAUACGGAGGAUCCGAGCGUUAUCCGGAUUUAUUGGGUUUAAAGGGAGCGUAGAUGGGUUGUUAAGUCAGUUGUGAAAGUUUGCGGCUCAAACGUCACAUUGCAAUUGAUACUGGCAGCCUUGAGUACCGUUGAGGUAGGCGGAAUUCGUGGUGUAGCGGUGAAAUGCUUAGAUAUCACGCAGAACUCCGAUUGCGAAGGCAGCCUACUAAACUGCCACUGACAUUGAUGCUCGAAAGUGUGGGUAUCAAACAGGAUUAGAUACCCUUGUAGUC